rnacentral:rRNA from 1 species
GACGAACGCUGGCGGCGUGCUUAACACAUGCAAGUCGAACGCUGAAGCUCAGCUUUUGUUGGGUGGAUGAGUGGCGAACGGGUGAGUAACACGUGAGUAACCUGCCUCCUUCUUUGGGAUAACGCCCGGAAACGGGUGCUAAUACUGGAUAUUCACUGGUCUUCGCAUGGGGGUUGGUGGAAAGGGUUUUUCUGGUGGGGGAUGGGCUCGCGGCCUAUCAGCUUGUUGGUGGGGUGAUGGCCUACCAAGGCUUUGACGGGUGGCCGGCCUGAGAGGGUGACCGGUCACAUUGGGACUGAGAUACGGCCCAGACUCCUACGGGAGGCAGCAGUGGGGAAUAUUGCACAAUGGGCGCAAGCCUGAUGCAGCGACGCCGCGUGAGGGAUGGAGGCCUUCGGGUUGUGAACCUCUUUCGCUCAUGGUCAAGCCGCAACAAUGGUUGUGGUGAGGGUAGUGGGUAAAGAAGCGCCGGCUAACUACGUG